UUGUAGGUAGAUAAUUCAAUUUUAAAACUGCACUCAUCAUAAAGUUUUUAGCCACGGUGCUUUAAGUAAAAAUGAACUUAUUCUGUUCAUUAUCACUAAUAUUAUUCAUAAUAAAUAUCGCCCACAUUGAAGGAGAUGGCAUCAGAGUACCAUUAUCAAUAUGUGAGGAUAGCAACGAUGAAUACAGCGAAUCCAUUGAAUACUAUGGAACUAUUUCAAUUGGAACCCCGCCACAGAAAAUCAAUGCAAAAUUUAGUCUUACGACACAUAUUAUAAAGUUAUUGCAACGAUUCAGUUUGCCGUGACCGUAAGUCAAAAGUAUUACAAUAUUCGGCAUCAACGUAGGUCUAGGUGCUUACAAGUAUAAUCAUUACUCAUUAGAUUGCAACCCACAAUUGAUGCACUGUAAUCAAUGGAUUUCUCCGGUAGUGAAAAUUACUAAUUAGCAAAUUAGCACAAUUGAUUAUAAUUUUAUAAUGAUAAUUAUAACUGAAAUUGA